rnacentral:rRNA from 1 species
UACGUAGGGUGCGAGCGUUGUCCGGAAUUAUUGGGCGUAAAGAGCUCGUAGGCGGUGUGUCGCGUCGGCCGUGAAAACCUGGGGCUUAACUCUGGGCGUGCGGUCGAUACGGGCAUCACUAGAGUUCGGCAGGGGAGACUGGAAUUCCUGGUGUAGCGGUGAAAUGCGCAGAUAUCAGGAGGAACACCGGUGGCGAAGGCGGGUCUCUGGGCCGAUACUGACGCUGAGGAGCGAAAGCAUGGGUAGCAAACAGG